rnacentral:rRNA from 1 species
GACGUAGGGCGCGAGCGUUGUCCGGAUUUAUUGGGCGUAAAGAGCUCGUAGGCGGCUUGUCGCGUCGACUGUGAAAACCCGCGGCUCAACCGCGGGCCUGCAGUCGAUACGGGCAGGCUAGAGUUCGGUAGGGGAGUGUGGAAUUCCCGGUGUAGCGGUGAAAUGCGCAGAUAUCGGGAGGAACACCAGUAGCGAAGGCGACACUCUGGGCCGGUACUGACGCUGAGGAGCGAAAGCGUGGGGAGCAAACAGG